rnacentral:rRNA from 1 species
CCUACGGGAGGCAGCAGUAGGGAAUUUUGCGCAAUGGGCGAAAGCCUGACGCAGCAACGCCGCGUGCUGGAUUAAGGCCUUCGGGGUGUAAAGAUCUGUCAGUGGGGACGAAACUUGACGUUACCCACAGAUGAAGCACGGUCUACCUCCGUGCAGGCAGCCGCGGUAAUACGGAGGGGGCAAGCGUGGGCCGGAAUCAUUGGGGAUAAAGGGUUCGUAGGUGGCAUAUUAAGUCUGAUGUAAAAUGGAGGAGCUCAACUUCUGUUCGGCAUGGGAUACUGGUAAGCUUGAAUGCGGUAGAGGUAAAGGGAAUUCCUGGUGUAGCGGUGAAAUGCGUAGAUAUCAGGAGGAACACCGGUGGCGUAGGCAGUUUACUGGGCCGUAAUUGACACUGAGGAACGAAAGCGGGGGUAGCAAAUGGGAUUAGAUACCCUUGUAGUC